UACGGAGGAUGCGAGCGUUAUCCGGAUUUAUUGGGUUUAAAGGGUGCGUAGGCGGAAGAUUAAGUCAGUGGUGAAAGUUUGAGGCUCAACCUUAAAAUUGCCAUUGAAACUGGUUUUCUUGAGUAUAUUUGAAGUAGGCGGAAUUCGUGGUGUAGCGGUGAAAUGCAUAGAUAUCACGAGGAACUCCAAUUGCGUAGGCAGCUUACUAAACUAUAACUGACGCUGAGGCACGAAAGCGUGGGUAUCAAACAGG
rnacentral:rRNA from 1 species